UACGUAGGGUGCAAGCGUUAAUCGGAAUUACUGGGCGUAAAGCGUGCGCAGGCGGCUUUGCAAGACAGAUGUGAAAUCCCCGGGCUCAACCUGGGAACUGCCAUUUGUGACUGCAAGGCUAGAGUACGGUAGAGGGGAUGGAAUUCCGCGUGUAGCAGUGAAAUGCGUAGAUAUGCGGAGGAACACCGAUGGCGAAGGCAAUCCCCUGGGCCUGCACUGACGCUCAUGCACGAAAGCAUGGGGAGCGAACAGGG
rnacentral:rRNA from 1 species